CGGACCAGACUCCUACGUGAGGCAGCAGUGGGGAAUCUUGCACAAUGGAGGCAACUCUGAUGCAGCGACGCCGCGUGAGCGAUGAAGCCCUUCGGGGUGUAAAGCUCUUUCGGCAGGAACGAUAAUGACGGUACCUGAAGAAGAAGCUGCGGCUAACUACGUGCCAGCAGCCGCGGUAAUACGUAGGCAGCGAGCGUUGUUCGGAAUUACUGGGCGUAAAGAGUGUGUAGGCGGUGCUCUAAGUUCGGUGUGAAAUCUCCCGGCUUAACUGGGAGGGUGCGCCGGAAACUGGAGUGCUCGAGCGUGGGAGAGGAAAGCGGAAUUCCUGGUGUAGCGGUGAAAUGCGUAGAUAUCAGGAGGAACACCUGCGGUGUAGACGGCUUUCUGGACCAUUGCUGACGCUGAGACACGAAAGCGUGGGUAGCAAACAGGAUUAGAUACCCUGGUAGUCCACGCCCUAAACGAUGGAUACUAGGCGUAAGAGGUAUCGACCCCUCUUGUGCCGCAGCUAACGCAUUAAGUAUCCCGCCUGGGGAGUACGGCCGCAAGGUUGAAACUCAAAGGAAUUGACG
rnacentral:rRNA from 1 species